AGAGUUUGAUCAUGGCUCAGAACGAACGCUGGCGGCAGGCCUAACACAUGCAAGUCGAGCGCUACCUUCGNGGUGGAGCGGCGGACGGGUUAGUAACGACGUGGGAAUAUACCCAGUUCUAAGGAAUAGCCACUGGAAACGGUGAGUAAUACCUUAUACGCCCUUCGGGGGAAAGAUUUAUCGGAAUUGGAUUAGCCCGCGUUAGAUUANAUAGUUGGUGGGGUAAUGGCCUACCAAGUCUACGAUCUAUANCUGGUUGGAGAGGANGAUCAGCAACACNGNCACNCAGACACGGCCCAGACUCCUACGGGAGGCANCAGNGGGGAAUCUUAGACAAUGGGCGAAAGCC
rnacentral:rRNA from 1 species